rnacentral:rRNA from 1 species
AUUGAACGCUGGCGGCAGGCCUAACACAUGCAAGUCGAACGGUAACAGGAAGCAGCUUGCUGCUUCGCUGACGAGUGGCGGACGGGUGAGUAAUGUCUGGGAAACUGCCUGAUGGAGGGGGAUAACUACUGGAAACGGUAGCUAAUACCGCAUAACGUCGCAAGACCAAAGAGGGGGACCUUAGGGCCUCUUGCCAUCGGAUGUGCCCAGAUGGGAUUAGCUAGUAGGUGGGGUAGCGGCUCACCUAGGCGACGAUCCCUAGCUGGUCUGAGAGGAUGACCAGCCACACUGGAACUGAGACACGGUCCAGACUCCUACGGGAGGCAGCAGUGGGGAAUAUUGCACAAAGGGCGCAAGCCUGAUGCAGCCAUGCCGCGUGUAUGAAGAAGGCCUUCGGGUUGUAAAGUACUUUCAGCGGGGAGGAAGGGAGUAAAGUUAAUACCUUUGCUCAUUGACGUUACCCGCAGAAGAAGCACCGGCUAACUCCGUG